CAGCAUUGCUGUGGACAGCUGGACAAUACUUUUUAAUGCGGAUUUGCUUACUAUACGUGAUAUAUGAGUCUUUUAUAUCUAUAAAAAUUAAGUCAUUUCUUUUAAAUUUUUUUACUCUUCUAUAUUAAUAAACUGUUAAUUUGAGAAAAUGAUGCUCUUCAUGUUAUUGUUUAGCCGACAAGGCAAAUUAAGAUUGCAGAAAUGGUAUGGUGCAUAUGCUGAUAAAACGAAGAAAAAAAUAACACGUGAAUUGGUUACUACGAUACUGGCCCGAAAGCCUAAAAUGUGCUCAUUUUUGGAGUGGAAAGAUUGCAAAAUUGUUUAUAAACGUUAUGCUAGUUUAUAUUUCUGUUGUGCGAUUGAACAAAAUGACAACGAAUUAUUAACGUUAGAAAUUAUACAUCGUUACGUGGAAUUGUUGGAUAAAUAUUUUGGAAGCGUUUGCGAAUUGGACAUUAUUUUCAAUUUUGAAAAAGCUUAUUUUAUAUUAGAUGAAUUGUUAAUCGGAGGUGAAAUACAAGAAACUUCGAAGAAAAAUGUUUUAAAAGCAAUCGCUUCACAGGAUUUAUUACAAGAGGAUGAAGCUGUUGAGGGCACUUUAAGAGAUAUUGGACUACUCUGAAAAUUUCUUUUAAUUGUGCUAAAAAGUAUUCAGUAGAACACAAACUUCUAUUCUCACACAAACACACAAAUUGAACACUCGAUGAAAUGAUGAAACUCCACAAGGUUUCUUCGAGGACCAUGGUCUUGGAUAGAUGAAUACAAAUCGAAUAUCACUGCCUAGUGAUUAAAAUAAUACAUAAUAAAACAUAAUGAUUUAUUCAUUGCUGUUGUCCUUAUUAUUAAUAUAUAUGUAUACAAAAUCAAAUAUUACCUAUAAGAAGUAGUUUAUCUUUUAAACGUUUAUCAGUUUAUUAGAUUUAAAAAUAUCAGCAUUUCUAUAGAUAUGUAUUUAUAUAUGAACUUUGAAAAUAAAAGACAAUUGUUUAAAGUUAAAACGUUAAAAGAUUGACAAAUGCUA